CCUACGGGGGGCUGCAGUGGGGAAUAUUCGACAAUGGGCGAAAGCCUGAUCCAGCCAUGCCGCGUGUGUGAAGAAGGCCUUCGGGUUGUAAAGCACUUUCAGUGGGGAAGAAAGCCUUGGGGCUAAUACCCUCGAGGAAGGACAUCACCCACAGAAGAAGCACCGGCUAACUCCGUGCCAGCAGCCGCGGUAAUACGGAGGGUGCGAGCGUUAAUCGGAAUUACUGGGCGUAAAGCGCGCGUAGGCGGUCUGAUAAGCCGGUUGUGAAAGCCCCGGGCUCAACCUGGGAACGGCAUCCGGAACUGUCAGGCUAGAGUGCAGGAGAGGAAGGUAGAAUUCCCGGUGUAGCGGUGAAAUGCGUAGAGAUCGGGAGGAAUACCAGUGGCGAAGGCGGCCUUCUGGACUGACACUGACGCUGAGGUGCGAAAGCGUGGGUAGCAAACAGGAUUAGAUACCCCAGUAGUC
rnacentral:rRNA from 1 species